rnacentral:lncRNA from 10 species
AAAAUGAGCAGAGAACCCAGCCAAGUUGUGACUGGAGACUCCUGACUUACGGACAAUAAGAGGGGAAAUGUCUUUUGAAAGCUUCACUGACGCCAAGCAGAUUUCUUCCAACAAUUUCUUGCUUCUUGUGGUGUUAGAAGAGCAAUUAUGUUCCUGUGAGCAGCUGAUGGAGGACAUUAUCAACAUGGAAGUACUUCUUUGUGAGAGAACUGUCAGCUUACGUUUAUAUUAAUAGAUAUUACCUUUGGACUAUAUCUGUGGGAAAAGAAAAGCUAUUUCAGUCCAAGCGAUUCUCCUGUGUCAGCCUCCCAACUAGCUGGGAUUACAGGUCUCCUUCUGAAGAGGGUGAAGAUCUCUACCCCGAAAUGUGGUCAAGACCUCAUAACAACACCAAGAAAUCCAGGGAAGAUUUAUUUUCCCACCUCUGUGUUGGCUCAAGAAGAAAAGAAUAGAUUUCAAUGGCAGCUAGUAUAAAUAUUAUCUAGAAAUAUAACCUAGUAAUUUUUUAAAAAAUACAAUCCAAUAUUACACAUUGGU